AAAGUCUAAACGACUCUCGGCAACGGAUAUCUCGGCUCUCGCAUCGAUGAAGAACGUARCGAAAUGCGAUACUUGGUGUGAAUUGCAGAAUCCCGUGAACCAUCGAGUCUUUGAACGCAAGUUGCGCCCGAAACCACUYGGUUGAGGGCACGUCUGCCUGGGCGUC
rnacentral:rRNA from 1 species